rfam:Jatropha curcas cultivar GZQX0401 scaffold995_28, whole genome shotgun sequence.
GACAGUUUGGCCGAGUGGUCUAAGGCGCCAGAUUUAGGCUCUUGUCCGAAAGGGCGUGGGUUAAAAUCCCACAAUUGUCA